GACGAACGCUGGCGGCGGGCUUAACACAUGCAAGUCGAACGGAAAGGCCCUGCUUUUGUGGGGUGCUCGAGUGGCGAACGGGUGAGUAACACGUGAGUAACCUGCCCUUGACUUUGGGAUAACUUCAGGAAACUGGGGCUAAUACCGUAUAGGAGCUCCUGUUGCAUGGUGGGGGUUGGAAAGUUUCGGCGGGUGGGGAUGGAUGCGCGGAUUAUCAGCUUGUUGGUGGGGUAGUGGCUUACCAAGGCUUUGACGGGUAGCCGGCCUGAGAGGGUGACCGGCCACAUUGGGACUGAGAGAGGGCCAAGACUCCUACGGGAGGCAGCAGGGGGGAAUAUUGCACACUGGGCUGCCGCGUGAUGCAGCAACGCCGCGUGCGGGAUAACGGCCUUCGGGUUGUAAACCGAUUUCGACUGUAACGAAGCGUGAGUGACGGUAAUGGGUAAGGAAGCACCGGCUAACUACGUG
rnacentral:rRNA from 1 species